rnacentral:lncRNA from 1 species
AUGCAGACUGCCAUGAACCUGGGGGUCCGGCCAAGCCAUCCCAUUUUAGGGCUUCCCGCGUUCGAGAAAUCGUCUCGCAGCACUUGUCUUUACCUUCACUGGGGCGCCGUAGGGCUCGGAGAGGGCGCUGCGGGAGUGGGGAAGGCACCGUGCCUCGGCUCCCCCCGCACGCCCGGCCCGCGAGCGCCGCGAGCGCCGGGUCUGGGGUGUCCGCGCUGUCCCGGCCCCGCAGCCCCUCGGGCCCCGACCCUCCGCGGCCAGCCCGAGCCAAGCCCCCCAGACUGGCUUUCCCCCGGGGGAGCCCCGCUCCGCAACGCUCUGCCCAACAGGUCUGGCGACCCACGUAUCAGGAAGGGGCUUCCAAGGAAAGAAUCCCGGGGGGUGGGGGGGGGGCGCUGGAGGGACUGUUUCGUACUAAACAUCGAAGAGCGACAAUAUACCUGUGGGUGCGAGGAGCGCGCGGCGGCCACUCCGUGGUUUCCAGCGGUCCCGGCGGCGGGAAGCCCAGGCGCGCGGGGGCCUCGGGCGGCUCCGUCCCGCGCUGCUCGGGGCCCGCGGCCCGCCUCGGCCCUUUAUAGCGCGGCGCGCGGGUGGGCACCGGGGCCCGGGCCGGGGGUGCAGGGAGAAGGGCGGAGGGAGGGGAGGGGAGGGGAGGGGAGGGGAGGGGAGGGGAGGGGAGGGGAGGGGGGGGGCGGGGCGGGGCGGGGGGCGCGGGCCCGGCGGCCGGCCCUAGGUCUGCGGAUUUUUCUCUGUUCGCUGGAAAUUCCCGAGCCCGAAAGAUAAAAGCAGGAUGUCGUAAAUAUAUUCUUACAAGAAAAUUCUAAUCAAGGAUACUGGCCUUUUUGAGCACUUCAGAAAAGGUGAAUCUCAAGAGAAACUCCUGAGACACAGCAAUUUUCAGCGUGCUACAGGAGCCACCAACCAUAAGCCUCAGGAGUUCAUCCCACUCAAGAUGGACCUACUGUGCUCUUCAUACAGAUAAGCUCAAUCUCCUUGACCAGAUAAGCUGCAAACACUC